rnacentral:rRNA from 1 species
CCUACGGGAGGCAGCAGUGAGGAAUAUUGGUCAAUGGACGAGAGUCUGAACCAGCCAAGUAGCGUGAAGGAUGACUGCCCUAUGGGUUGUAAACUUCUUUUAUAUGGGAAUAAAAUGUUCCACGUGUGGGAUUUUGUAUGUACCAUAUGAAUAAGGAUCGGCUAACUCCGUGCCAGCAGCCGCGGUAAUACGGAGGAUCCGAGCGUUAUCCGGAUUUAUUGGGUUUAAAGGGAGCGUAGGUGGAUUGUUAAGUCAGUUGUGAAAGUUUGCGGCUCAACCGUAAAAGUGCAGUUGAAACUGGCAGUCUUGAGUACAGGAGAGGUGGGCGGAAUUCGUGGUGUAGCGGUGAAAUGCUUAGAUAUCACGAAGAACUCCGAUGGCGAAGGCAGUUCACUGGACUGCAACUGACACUGAGGCUCGAAAGUGUGGGUAUCAAACAGGAUUAGAUACCCUUGUAGUC